UACAGAGGUCUCAAGCGUUGUUCGGAUUCACUGGGCUUAAAGGGCGCGUAGGCGGACUCGCAAGUCUGUGGUGAAAGCCCCCAGCUCAACUGGGGAAGUGCCGUGGAUACUGCAAGUCUGGAGGAGGGUAGGGGCAUCUGGAACGCUGGGUGGAGCGGUGAAAUGCGUUGAUAUCCAGCGGAACUCCGGUGGCGAAGGCGAGGUGCUGGACCCUUUCUGACGCUGAGUGCGCGAAAGCCAGGGGAGCAAAUGGG
rnacentral:rRNA from 1 species